UACGUAGGGUGCAAGCGUUAAUCGGAAUUACUGGGCGUAAAGCGUGCGCAGGCGGUGAUGUAAGACAGGUGUGAAAUCCCCGGGCUUAACCUGGGAACUGCAUUUGUGACUGCAUAGCUGGAGUGCGGCAGAGGGGGAUGGAAUUCCGCGUGUAGCAGUGAAAUGCGUAGAUAUGCGGAGGAACACCGAUGGCGAAGGCAAUCCCCUGGGCCUGCACUGACGCUCAUGCACGAAAGCGUGGGGAGCAAACAGG
rnacentral:rRNA from 1 species